rnacentral:rRNA from 1 species
CUACGGGUGGCACCAGUGAGGAAUAUUGCACAAUGGAGGAAACUCUGAUGCAGCAACGCCGCGUGGAGGAUGACGCAUUUCGGUGUGUAAACUCCUUUUAUAUGUCAAGAAAAUGACGGUAGCAUAUGAAUAAGCACCGGCUAACUCCGUGCCAGCAGCCGCGGUAAUACGGAGGGUGCAAGCGUUACUCGGAAUCACUGGGCGUAAAGGACGCGUAGGCGGGAUAUCAAGUCAGGUGUGAAAUCCUACAGCUUAACUGUAGAACUGCACUUGAAACUGGUAACCUAGAGUAUGGGAGGGGGAGAUGGAAUUAGUGGUGUAGGGGUAAAAUUCGUAGAUAUCACUAGGAAUACCUAAAGCGAAGGCGAUCUCCUGGAACAUAACUGACGCUAAGGCGUGAAAGCGUGGGGAGCAAACAGGAUUAGAUACCCCCGUAGUC